rnacentral:rRNA from 1 species
AUGACAAGAUGGAUCUCAAGGUUUCCAGGCGAAGAAAAGUUAUACCAUAGGUUUGACUCAAUCGAGGAUGACUUGCAGAAUAAUUACACGAUUGAUUUACUGAACUCGAUCACACCAAAUGGCUUGCCUCCGCGUGUACUGAGAUUAAAGGCCAACUGUCCGGUCAUUCUGCUCCGGAACCUCGACCUUCAUAAUGGCCUAUACAAUGGAACACGGCUUAUGAUUAGAGCCUUCCAGGAUAAUGCAAUUGACGCAGAGAUUGUUGGUGGUCAGCAUCCUGGCAAGAGGGUGUUCAUACCUAGGGUCCCUAUGUCACCCUCGGAGGACAUCUCACUUCCUUUCAAACUGAAGAGAAAACAGUUUCCCAUCGGCCUGAGUUUUGCAAUGACAAUUAACAAGGCGCAGGGUCAGACCAUCCCAAACGUCGGAAUUUACCUUCCUGAGCCAGUAUUCUCACAUGGCCAGCUCUAUGUUGCAUUGUCAAGGGGAGUGUCGAGAGAGACAACACGGAUUUUGGCCAAGCCAAACCAGGAGGUUGAUAAAUCCGGGAAAAGUACCAAGAACAUUGUCUACAGAGAUGUUUUAGACAGAUGA